GCAAAUGCAAUUAUAAUAUACUAGAGGCCCGGUGCACAAACUCGUGCAGCAGAGGGGUCCCCCUGCCUGGACUGUGGGAUCAGGCCCAAAUCAGUUCUCCAACAUCCCAUGAG